GCAUAUCAAUAAGCGGAGGAAAAGAAACUAACAAGGAUUCCCCUAGUAGCGGCGAGCGAAGCGGGAAAAGCUCAAAUUUGUAAUCUGGCGUCUACGACGUCCGAGUUGUAAUCUCGAGAAGUGUUUUCCGUGAUAGACCGCAUACAAGUCUCUUGGAACAGAGCGUCAUAGUGGUGAGAACCCAGUACACGAUGCGGAUGCCUAUUACUUUGUGAUACACUUUCGAAGAGUCGAGUUGUUUGGGAAUGCAGCUCAAAUUGGGUGGUAAAUUCCAUCUAAAGCUAAAUAUUGGCGAGAGACCGAUAGCGAACAAGUACCGUGAGGGAAAGAUGAAAAGCACUUUGGAAAGAGAGUUAACAGUACGUGAAAUUGUUGGAAGGGAAACACAUGCAGCCAGACUUGCUAUUCGGGGCAACUCGAUUGGCAGGCCCGCAUCAGUUUUUCGGGGCGGAAAAGCAUAGAGAGAAGGUAGCAAUUUCGGUUGUGUUAUAGCUCUUUAUUGGAUUCGCCCUGGGGGACUGAGGAACGCAGCGUGCUUUUAGCAUAAGCUUCGGCUUAUCCACGCUUAGGAUGCGGGUGUAAUGGCUGUAUAUGACCCGUCUUGAAACACGGACCAAGGAGUCUAACAUGCUUGCGAGUAUUUGGGUGUCAAACCCGGAUGCGCAAUGAAAGUGAAUGGAGGUGGGAAGCGCAAGCUGCACCAUCGACCGAUCUGGAUCUUUUGAGAUGGAUUUGAGUAAGAGCAAGUAUGUUGGGACCCGAAAGAUGGUGAACUAUGCCUGAAUAGGGCGAAGCCAGAGGAAACUCUGGUGGAGGCUCGUAGCGGUUCUGACGUGCAAAUCGAUCGUCAAAUUUGGGUAUAGGGGCGAAAGACUAAUCGAACCAUCUAGUAGCUGGUUCCUGCCGA
rnacentral:rRNA from 1 species